rnacentral:rRNA from 1 species
GAUGAACGCUGGCGGCGUGCCUAAUACAUGCAAGUCGAGCGAACGGACGAGAAGCUUGCUUCUCUGAUGUUAGCGGCGGACGGGUGAGUAACACGUGGAUAACCUACCUAUAAGACUGGGAUAACUUCGGGAAACCGGAGCUAAUACCGGAUAAUAUUAUGAACCGCAUGGUUCAAAAGUGAAAGACGGUCUUGCUGUCACUUAUAGAUGGAUCCGCGCUGCAUUAGCUAGUUGGUAAGGUAACGGCUUACCAAGGCAACGAUGCAUAGCCGACCUGAGAGGUUGAUCGGCCACACUGGAACUGAGACACGGUCCAGACUCCUACGGGAGGCAGCAGUAGGGAAUCUUCCGCAAUGGGCGAAAGCCUGACGGAGCAACGCCGCGUGAGUGAUGAAGGUCUUCGGAUCGUAAAACUCUGUUAUUAGGGAAGAACAUAUGUGUAAGUAACUGUGCACAUCUUGACGGUACCUAAUCAGAAAGCCACGGCUAACUACGUG